rnacentral:tRNA from 1 species
CAGGGCAUAGCUAAAAUAGUAAAGCAGUUCCCUUACACUGAAAAAACACCUGUGCAAAUCAGGUUGCCCUGA